rnacentral:lncRNA from 1 species
UGAAUAUCCUUCAGCUCACUUCAGGAGGUAACCAGAGCCACGCUUGGCAGUCAAGAUUUCAUCUUUGGAAUUGCUAAUCAGUGUAGCCUAUGACAAAUGGGCUCUGGAUGCCAGCACUCAUAGGCUGAUUUACAUGUGCGUGGAGGUCCCAUCAGAUUCCAAGGGGUGAGCUGCUGGCAGUACGGAGUGCAAUGUGGCAGCAUCAUUACCUGAGCUUACCUUUGAAACUCAGCAGCUGUUCCCAGUCAGUGAUGCUAAUGAUUUCCACCUUUGCUCCAAGGUGACUCCUACUUCUGUUUGUGCUGCUGAAGAAAAGGAUACAGGAGUGAACAAUUGCCUUUCCCCAGGGUCCGGCUGCAGAGGGGGAAUUGUUCAAGUUCACAAGAAGGAUCGGACCUGGAACCUUCACGUAAAGUUAAAGGGCAAAAUUGACAGCUAUGUAGGACGCCUAAGGCUUGAUCUUCUCUUCUUCCUAUGUGGAGGAGUGGAGGAAGAAGGAUAUAUUAGCACAUCCCACCACUGUAAUGAGACAGUAUAACGAGUGCAGAGUCACUGAAUGUAUCUUUUCCUAGAAUGGGAUGGGAAUCUAACUGAGGAUCCUGUGCCAGCCAGGAAGGUGUCUGAGACUCUGUGCCAGCUUCUUUACUUCACAAUAAGAACCCACAUCUACCAUCCUAAGAUGACCAGAGGCCAACAGUCAAGCAGAAGUGUGAACUGAGCUAGUUUCCUGAGAGGGCCUGUGAGACUUUAGACUAUUUGGGAAUCCUCAGCACUGUAAUGACCACUUAUUUAGCAUUAAUCAAACCACAAAGCAUCAGGUCCAUGGACCAUCAGGGGACUCCUUACCUCCAAACACAAUGCUAUCUACAAUAAAUACCAACUCAUUACAGCCUUUGACUUCA